rnacentral:tmRNA from 1 species
GGGGGCGACCUGGAUUCGACGUGGGUGAUGAAACCAUGGGUGCAUGCCGAGUAGGUAGCUUAAUCUCGUAAAACUUAGCUGCAGGCAUAUAAUUGCCAACGAUGAAAACUUCGCAAUCGCUGCCUAAAAAGUAGCCGUUUGCCCUCUGCCUUCAUGUGCUUGUGCAUGGAAUCACAGAGGUCAUGUUCACAAGAUGCUGCAUUAUCUUGUUCAAGGAUAGUGCCUAAGACGCAUUGAACUCGUUCUCUACUUUGUUCGCCCAAUCAGGGGGUAGGGAAUUAAAUGACUGAUAGGGCUAUGCAUGUAGAAGCUUUUGGUAGAGUGCUUACGGACGCGGGUUCAAUUCCCGCCGCCUCCACCA